rnacentral:rRNA from 1 species
CGGGGUGCCGCGGCGUCGAAUUCUUUUUCAUGCUUGCGACCGUGCUCCCGGGACACCGAGUGUCAGCAUCAUAUGCUGGCUGUCCGGGUGUGUAAAAUACACCCGUUACCAAGGGCCGGGCAAUACCGGUGCCAACCGCCGCGGUAACACCGGCGGCCCGAGUGGUGAUCUUGAUUAUUGGGUCUAAAAGGUCCGUAUCCGGUUUGGUCAUUCCUCCGGGAAAUCUGACGGCUCAACCGUUAGGCUUUCGGGGGAUACUGCCAGGCUUGGAACCGGGAGAGGUAAGAGGUACUACAGGGGUAGGAGUGAAAUCUUGUAAUCCCUGUGAAACCACCUGUGGAGAAGGCGUCUUACCAAAACGGGUUCUACGGUGAGGGACGAAAGCUGGGGGCACGAACCGGAUUAUAUACCCGGGUAGUCCCAGCCGUAAACGAUGCUCGCUAGGUGUCAGGCAUGGCGCAACCGUGUCUGGAGCCGCAUGGAAGCCGUGAAUCGAACCACCUGGGAAGUACUGCCGCAAGGCUGAAACUUAAAGGAAUUGGCGGGGGAGCAC